rnacentral:snoRNA from 1 species
GCAUGCUUCUUACCAAGCUUUUAAAGUGUUUCCAAUAUUUGAAACCAGUUUUAAAGGGUUCAUGUACAGUAUGCCAGAGCAAAAGAAUGAUUGGGUGUCCAUAUAACCCACUGCCGUGGUUAAUUUUGGCCAAUAAUCAUUUGGACAGCU